rnacentral:tRNA from 19 species
GGCAAUAUAGCCAAGCGGCUAAGGCAUGGGUCUGCAACACCCUGAUCGUCGGUUCGAAUCCGACUAUUGCCUCCA